UUAAUACAUGCAAGUCGAACGAGAAGCCAGAGCUUGCUCUGGUGGAAAGUGGCGAACGGGUGAGUAACACGUGAGAAACCUGCCCCAAAGAUUGGGAUAAGCCUUGGAAACGAGGUCUAAUACCAAAUACCUUCUUUUAACACAUGUUAAAAAGAAGAAAUGCUCCGGCGCUUUGGGGAUGGUCUCGCGAUCUAUCAGCUUGUUGGUGAGGUAACGGCUCACCAAGGCAUCGACGGAUAGCUGGUCUGAGAGGAUGUCCAGUCACAUUGGAACUGAGACACGGUCCAAACUCCUACGGGAGGCAGCAGUAGGGGAAUCUUGCACAAUGAGGGAAACCUUGAUGCAGCGACGCCGCGUGCGGGACGAAGGCCCUAGGGUUGUAAACCGCUUUCAGUAGGGACGAAAGUGACGGUACCUACAGAAGAAGCCCCGGCCAACUAUGUG
rnacentral:rRNA from 1 species